UACGUAGGUGGCAAGCGUUGUCCGGAAUUAUUGGGCGUAAAGCGCGCGCAGGCGGUUUCUUAAGUCUGAUGUGAAAGCCCACGGCUUAACCGUGGAAGGUCAUUGGAAACUGGGAGACUUGAGUGCAGAAGAGAAGAGCGGAAUUCCACGUGUAGCGGUGAAAUGCGCAGAUAUCAGGAAGAACACCCGUGGCGAAGGCGGCUCUCUGGAACGCAACUGACGCUGAGACGCGAAAGCGUGGGGAGCAAACAGG
rnacentral:rRNA from 1 species